rnacentral:rRNA from 1 species
AUUGAACGCUGGCGGCAGGCCUAACACAUGCAAGUCGAACGAGUGGCGGACGGGUGAGUAAUGUCUGGGAAACUGCCCGAUGGAGGGGGAUAACUACUGGAAACGGUAGCUAAUACCGCAUACCAUCGGAUGUGCCCAGAUGGGAUUAGCUUGUAGGUGAGGUAACGGCUCACCUAGGCGACGAUCCCUAGCUGGUCUGAGAGGAUGACCAGCAAAACGGGAACUGAGACACGGUCCAGACGCCUACGGGAGGCAGCAGGGGGGAAUAUUGCACAAGGGGGGGAAGCGUGAGGCAGCCAGGACGCGUGUAUGAAGAAGGCCUUCGGGUUGUAAAGUACUGUCAGCGGGGAGGCGGUACCCGCAGAAGAAGCACCGGCUAACUCCGUGCCAGCAGCCGCGGUAAUAC